CCAGAAUGUGGAGCGUGUGUUGUUCACUGUCAUUCAAGGAGCAGUGGAUUACCCAGAUCCUAUUGCACAGAAGACUUGCUUUAUUAUUCUUUCUAAGCUGGUGGAGCUGUGGGGAGGCAAAGAUGGACCAGUGGGUUUUGCAGACUUUGUCUACAAACACAUUGUCCCCGCAUGUUUCUUAGCACCUUUAAAGCAAACGUUUGACUUGGCAGAUGCCCAGACAGUAUUGGCUUUAUCAGAAUGUGCAGUGACAUUAAAAACAAUUCAUCUCAAAAGGG